rfam:Salmo salar isolate Sally breed double haploid chromosome ssa09, whole genome shotgun sequence.
UCAGAAUGUAUACUCAGUGGGCAAGUUAGAUCCGUAACUUCGGGAUAAGGAUUGGCUCUAAGGGCUAGGUCGGUCGGGCUGGGGUGCAAAGAGGGGCUCAAGCCGCGGCUGGGGGAGCAGUUACUCCGUCGCCCUUCUCUCGCCACCGUAGGAUGUUCGUUGUGUGGCCCAUCUCGUGGUCUCACAAGUGGCUGUGUGCGGGGGUACGUCGCGGGUGGUGUCCGUCAGCGGGCCGAAGGCUGACCGGUGGGGGGGUUGGGUCCGGUGGUUGGUGACGGCGACUCUGGAUGUGCACUGGGCCCUUCUCACGGAUCUCCCCAGCUACGGCGCUAGCAGCUGACUUAGAACUGGUGCGGACCAAGGGAAUCCGAUUGUUUAAUGUUUUUAAAAGCAUCGCAAAGGCCCGAGGUGGGUGUUGACCUGAUGUGAUUUCUGUCCUCUGCUCUGAAUGUCAAAGUGAAGUAAUUCAAUGAAGUGUAAAUGAAUCCUGACCUUGACAGGACACCAACACUCAUGAGACUCGAGGCGGAGAGUAAACCCAUUGGCCCCGUAGUGAUAGGGCAUUGCAUGAAUCUGGAGGUAUCUCCAGCUUGUCUGGGGAGGGAGGCCUACAUCUGAUGUGGGUAGUACCAUCCAAGCCCAUUGAUUUGCUGCGGACCAAUAAAACGGACGGAUGAAGCCUAGGUUCCCACUGCACGGAUCACUGAAUGUCAACUUGAUGAAAUUCAAAAGGAGCAUACCCACCUGUCGCGGUCACACUCAAAUCACCCAAGCACAUUUGGUAUAUGUGCGAAGCUACUAUCUGUGGGAUUUUGGCUGAACGCCUCUAAGUCAGAAUCCCCCCUAAACGUAACGAUACUGUAGGACCAUGGAUCUUUGGUUGGCCCGGGAUAGCCUGCCUCUUUUGGCAGGUGAGUAGAGCCGUUCGUGACGGGGUUGGGGUGCGGCCGGAUAAGUUGCCGCCCCUCUCCUGAUGCGCACCACAUGUUUGUGGGGAACCUGGUGCUAAAUCAUUCAUAGACAACCUGAUUUUGGGUCAGGGUUUCGUACGUAGCAGAGCAGCUCACUCGCUGCGAUUUAUUGACAGUCAGCCCUCAAUCCAAGCUUU